CCUACGGGAGGCAGCAGUGAGGAAUAUUGGUCAAUGGACGCGAGUCUGAACCAGCCAAGUCGCGUGAAGGAAGACGGCCCUAUGGGUUGUAAACUUCUUUUAUCAAGGAGUAAAACGCGGCACGCGUGCCUUUUUGCAUGUACUUUAUGAAUAAGGAUCGGCUAACUCCGUGCCAGCAGCCGCGGUAAUACGGAGGAUUCGAGCGUUAUCCGGAUUUAUUGGGUUUAAAGGGUUGGUAGGUGGGUUGUUAAGUCAGUUGUAAAAUUUUGCGGCACAAACGUAAAAUUGCAGUUAAUACUGGCAGUCUUGAGUGCAGGUGAGGGAGGCGGAAUGCGUGGUGGAGGGGUGAAAUGCAUAGAUAUCACGAAGAACCCCGAUUGCGAAGGCAGCUUA
rnacentral:rRNA from 1 species